UCUCCUCAUUCUUCUUCUUCUUCUUCUCCUUCUUCUUCUUCUUCUUCUUCUCCUUCUUCUUCUUCUUCUUCUUCUUCUUCUUCUUCUUCUUGUUCUCCCCCUUCUUCUCCUUCUCGUUCGUCUUAUUCUUCUUCUCCUUGUGCUUCUUCUUGUUAGCUAAUUAUCCUCCAAAAUGACAUAAAUAGGUCAUUUAGUUCAUUUAUGACAUAAUUAGUUUAGUUAUGCCAAAAAUAGCAUAAGAACCUUGGUUACUCAUAAAUGGCAUAUACUUAGCUUAUGUUCC
rnacentral:lncRNA from 1 species